GCUGUGUGCCCAGGGGUGUCCCUAUAUCUGUGGGGUGUCCCUGUCCCCCUAGGGUGCCCCAUCUCCCGCUGGUCCCAUGGGUGUCCCUGCCCCAUAGAGUUCCCUGUGUCCUGGUGGCCCUGUGGGGUUUCCCUAUACCCCGUGGGGCAUCCCUACCCCCAUAUCCCAUGGGGUGUCCCCAUAUCCCAUAGGGUGCCCUUGUCCCUUAGGGUUUCUUAUGUCCUGGUAGUCCCACGGGGUGUCCCUAUAUCCCAUGGGGUUCCCCUGUCCCAUAGGGUUCCCCAUCUCUUGCUGGUCCCAUAGAGUUCCCCCUAAUCUCCUGGUGGCCCUGUGGGCUGGCCCUAUAUCCUGUGGGGCAUCCCUAUAUCCCAUGGGGUGUCCCUGGAUCCCAUAGGAUUCCCAUCUCCUGGUCAUCCCGUGGGGCGACCCUAUAUCCUGUGGGGUGUUCCUGUAUCCCAUGGGCUUCCCCUGUCCCAUAGAGUUCCCUGUCUCCUGAUGGUCCUGUGGGGUUUCCCUAUAUCCUAUGGUGUGUCCCUAUAUCCCAUAGGAUUCCCAUCUCCUGGUGGUCCCAUGGAGUGUCCCUAUGUCCUGUGGGGCUCCCCUAUAUCCUGUGGGGUGUCCCUAUAUCCCAUGGGCUUCCCCUGUCCCAUAGAGUUCCCUGUCUCCUGAUGAUCCUGUGGGGUUUCCCUAUAUCCUAUGGGGCAUUCCUACCCCUAUGUUCUACGGGGCAUCCCUAUAUCCCAUAGGAUUCCCAUCUCCUGGUGGCCCCAUGGGGCGUCCCUGUAUCCCAUGGGGCGUCCCUAUAUCCUGUGGGGUGUUCCUAUGUCCCAUGGGAUUCCCAUCUCCUGGUGGUUCUAUGGGGUGUCCCUAUAUCCCAUGAGGCAUCCCCAUAUCCUGCUGGGAUCCCCUAUAUCCCACAGGGUGUCCCUAUAUCCCACGGGGCGUCCCUAUAUCCUAUGGGGUUCCCCAUCUUUUGCUGUCCCUUAGAGCUCCCCCUAAUCUCCUGGUGGCCCUGUGGGGCGUCCCCAUAUCCUGCUGGGAUCCCCUAUAUCCCAUGGGGUGCCCCUAUAUCCCAUGGGGUGCCCCUAUAUCCCAUGGGGUUCUCCCCUCCUGGUGGUCCCAUAGCCCCCCCCCUCUGGGGUCUCCACAUC
rnacentral:lncRNA from 1 species